ACAAUCAGAAACAAGAAAUGUGUAUACAGAUCUUCCUUGUCUUAUGAUGGGGUUAUGUCCUGACAACCGUCAUAAACAGAAAAUAUUGUAAGUUGCAAAUGCAUUUAAUACAUCUAACCAACUGAACAUCAUAGCUUAGCCUACCUCAAAUGUGCCCAUAAUGUUUAUAUUAGCCUACAUUUGGGCAAAAUCAUCCAACACAAAGCCUAUUUUAUAAUAGUGUUGAAUAUCUCAUGUAUGUAUUGAAUACUAUACUGAAUGUGAAAAACAGAAUGGCUGUAUGGGAACUAAACAUACCCAGCCCAA